rnacentral:rRNA from 1 species
GACGAACGCUGGCGGCGUGCUUAACACAUGCAAGUCGAGCGGUAAGGCCCUUUCGGGGGUACACGAGCGGCGAACGGGUGAGUAACACGUGGGUGACCUGCCCUCAGCUCUGGGAUAAGCCUGGGAAACCGGGUCUAAUACCGGAUAUGACUCCAUGACGCAUGUUGUGGGGUGGAAAGCCUUGUGCGGCUGAGGAUGGGCCCGCGGCCUAUCAGCUUGUUGGUGGGGNGAUGGCCUACCAAGGCGACGACGGGUAGCCGGCCUGAGAGGGCGACCGGCCACACUGGGACUGAGACACGGCCCAGACUCCUACGGGAGGCAGCAGUCGAGAGGCUUUGGCAAUGGGGGAAACCCUGACCAAGCGACGCCGCGUGGAGGAUGAAGGCCCUUGGGUCGUAAAC